GCUUGUCUCAAAGAUUAAGCCAUGCAAGUCUAAGAAGAAGCAACUUCGAUCGCGAAUCAGCACACGGCUCAUUACAUCAGUCAUAGUUUAUUUGAUAGUCCCCUCUACAUGGAUAACCGUAGAAACACUAGAGCUAAUACAUGCGCCAACCCCCGGACGCGGCGACGCGGACGGGGCGCACUUGUUAGAUACAAAGCCAACCCCUCGCGGGUCCAGGUGAAUCAUGACAAUUGAGCGAACCGCACAGCCGCAAGGCGGGCGGUGGUUCAAGCAAGUCUCUGCCCUAUCAGCUAGAUGGCACGGUAUUGGCCUGCCAUGGCGAUCACGGGUGACGGAGGAUCAGGGUCCGAUUCCGGCGAAGGGGCCUGAGAUACGGCCACUACAUCCAAGGAAGGCAGCAGG
rnacentral:rRNA from 1 species